AUUAUAGAUAAACGAAGAGAUUUGAAAAAUCAACAUAAAGGCGACAUAGUUUUUAAUCGGGGAAAUCUCAAUAUUGCAUCAGAUACUAGAUUAAUUCGCUAUGGAGUCUUCAUCCGUUUAGACAUGCCCUGUGCUCAUUAAAAUCUGUCUAAGCCUCGGCCCCAUUGCGAAUCCCAGAUGGACUGAUUUACAGGUCAAAAAUGCCACACCCUUCAAUGGGUCGUGAAAUCCCAAAGCAGAUGUACAGGUGCAGUAGCCAUAGAGGAAUAAGCAAAUGGGCCUAAAGCCAUUGAAACGGCAGUUGCAGCAAUUCAAGCAUGGACAAGAAUUUUCAAGGACCGAAAGUCCAACAGUUGCAGAUAAUGCAGAAAAUUACAUUGGAUGCCCAUGAAAAAAAGUCUUUGGAACUAGUAUAGAAUAAGUAUACUUUUGUUUCUAUCUCAAAUGUUACACUUUUUAUGAGUACUAAUUUAAUUGAAGUGCGUUGCAGGUGUAUCCAUUUUUUUUAAGAAUAAACGUAAUAAAAAAUUUAUUAGUUGUAC